rnacentral:misc_RNA from 1 species
CAACAAAGAAAGGAGGUGAUCUAGUGUCUUGUCUCAAGCGCUGUCACCUCGCUGGGAUCGCCCGCUAGGCUCUGAGUAAUCAGCCUGGCAUCGGGGCGCUCUCAGCCCUGACCAGCGAGACAACAAAUCCGGGGGCGCGGCGGAAGCGAUUCCGCCGCGCC